rnacentral:rRNA from 1 species
CCUACGGGUGGCAGCAGUGAGGAAUAUUGGUCAAUGGGCGCGAGCCUGAACCAGCCAAGUAGCGUGAAGGAUGACUGCCCUAUGGUUUGUAAACCUCUUUUAUGCUGGGAUAUAGGUGUCCACGUUUGGAUGCUUGCAGGUACCGCAUGAGUUAGGACCGGCGAAUUCCGUGCACGCAGCCGCGGUAAUACGGAAGGUCCGGGCGGUAUCCGGAUUUAUUGGGUUUAAGGGGAGCGUAGGACGGUCUUUAAGCGUGCCGUGAAAUUUUGUGGCUCAACCAUGAGAGUGCGGGGCGAACUGGAGACCUUGAGUGCGCGGAAGGCGGGCGGAAUUCGUGGUGUAGCGGUGAAAUGCUUAGAUAUCACGAAGAACACCGAUUGCGAAGGCAGCCUGCCGCGGCGUAACUGACGCUGAAGCUCGAAAGCGCGGGUAUCGAACAGGAUUAGAUACCCGAGUAGUC